rnacentral:rRNA from 1 species
ACGGGUGAGUAACGCGUGGGAAUCUACCGUGCCCUGCGGAAUAGCUCCGGGAAACUGGAAUUAAUACCGCAUACGCCCUACGGGGGAAAGAUUUAUCGGGGUAUGAUGAGCCCGCGUUGGAUUAGCUAGUUGGUGGGGUAAAGGCCUACCAAGGCGACGAUCCAUAGCUGGUCUGAGAGGAUGAUCAGCCACAUUGGGACUGAGACACGGCCCAAACUCCUACGGGAGGCAGCAGUGGGGAAUAUUGGACAAUGGGCGCAAGCCUGAUCCAGCCAUGCCGCGUGAGUGAUGAAGGCCUUAGGGUUGUAAAGCUCUUUCACCGGAGAAGAUAAUGACGGUAUCCGGAGAAGAAGCCCCGGCUAACUUCGUGCCAGCAGCCGCGGUAAUACGAAGGGGGCUAGCGUUGUUCGGAAUUACUGGGCGUAAAGCGCACGUAGGCGGAUAUUUAAGUCAGGGGUGAAAUCCCAGAGCUCAACUCUGGAACUGCCUUUGAUACUGGGUAUCUUGAGUAUGGAAGAGGUAAGUGGAAUUCCGAGUGUAGAGGUGAAAUCCGUAGA